rnacentral:rRNA from 1 species
GAUGAACGCUAGCGACAGGCUUAACACAUGCAAGUCGAGGGGCAGCGGGGGUGAUGGCUUGCCAUCACCUGCCGGCGACCGGCGCACGGGUGAGUAACACGUAUGCAACCUGCCCGCCACAGGGGGAUAAGCGGAAGAAAUUCCGUCUAAUACCGCGUGACGCGGCGCCGGGGCAUCCCGGUGCCGCCAAAGGGAUUACCGGUGGCGGAUGGGCAUGCGGCGCAUUAGCUAGUCGGCGGGGUAACGGCCCACCGAGGCGACGAUGCGUAGGGGUUCUGAGAGGAAGGUCCCCCACACUGGUACUGAGACACGGACCAGACUCCUACGGGAGGCAGCAGUGAGGAAUAUUGGUCAAUGGGCGCGAGCCUGAACCAGCCAAGUCGCGUGAGGGAUGACGGUCCUACGGAUUGUAAACCUCUUUUGCCGGGGAGCAAGCGUGCGUUCGUGAACGCGCGUCGAGAGUACCCGGAGAAAAAGCAUCGGCUAACUCCGUGCCAGCAGCCGCGGUAAUACGGAGGAUGCGAGCGUUAUCCGGAUUUAUUGGGUUUAAAGGGUGCGUAGGCGGGAUGCCAAGUCAGCGGUAAAAAUGCGGUGCUCAACGCCGUCGAGCCGUUGAAACUGGCGUUCUUGAGUGGGCGAGAAGUAUGCGGAAUGCGUGGUGUAGCGGUGAAAUGCAUAGAUAUCACGCAGAACUCCGAUUGCGAAGGCAGCAUACCGGCGCCCUACUGACGCUGAGGCACGAAAGCGUGGGUAUCGAACAGGAUUAGAUACCCUGGUAGUCCACGCAGUAAACGAUGAAUGCUAACUGUCCGGUGCGAGUGAGUGCUGGGCGGUACAGCGAAAGCGUUAAGCAUUCCACCUGGGGAGUACGCCGGCAACGGUGAAACUCAAAGGAAUUGACGGGGGCCCGCACAAGCGGAGGAACAUGUGGUUUAAUUCGAUGAUACGCGAGGAACCUUACCCGGGCUCAAACGCAGGAUGACGGAUCCCGAAAGGGGCCUUUCUUCGGACAUUCUGCGAGGUGCUGCAUGGUUGUCGUCAGCUCGUGCCGUGAGGUGUCGGCUUAAGUGCCAUAACGAGCGCAACCCCUGUUCACAGUUGCCAGCAGGUAAAGCUGGGGACUCUGUGGAGACUGCCGGCGCAAGCUGCGAGGAAGGCGGGGAUGACGUCAAAUCAGCACGGCCCUUACGUCCGGGGCGACACACGUGUUACAAUGGCAGGUACAGCGGGAUGCCACGGGGCGACCCGGCGCUGAACCCGAAAACCUGUCUCAGUUCGGAUUGGAGUCUGCAACCCGACUCCAUGAAGCUGGAUUCGCUAGUAAUCGCGCAUCAGCCACGGCGCGGUGAAUACGUUCCCGGGCCUUGUACACACCGCCCGUCAAGCCAUGGAAGCCGGGGGUACCUGAAGUGCGUGACCGCGAGGAGCGCCCUAGGGUAAAACCGGUGACUGGGGCU